GACGAACGCUGGCGGCGUGCCUAAUACAUGCAAGUCGAACGCUUCUUUCCUCCCGAGUGCUUGCACUCAAUUGGAAAGAGGAGUGGCGGACGGGUGAGUAACACGUGGGUAACCUACCCAUCAGAGGGGGAUAACACUUGGAAACAGGUGCUAAUACCGCAUAACAGUUUAUGCCGCAUGGCAUAAGAGUGAAAGGCGCUUUCGGGUGUCGCUGAUGGAUGGACCCGCGGUGCAUUAGCUAGUUGGUGAGGUAACGGCUCACCAAGGCCACGAUGCAUAGCCGACCUGAGAGGGUGAUCGGCCACACUGGGACUGAGACACGGCCCAGACUCCUACGGGAGGCAGCAGUAGGGAAUCUUCGGCAAUGGACGAAAGUCUGACCGAGCAACGCCGCGUGAGUGAAGAAGGUUUUCGGAUCGUAAAACUCUGUUGUUAGAGAAGAACAAGGACGUUAGUAACUGAACGUCCCCUGACGGUAUCUAACCAGGAAGCCACGGCUAACUACGU
rnacentral:rRNA from 1 species